GGGCGCUCAAAGUGAUGGAAGAAGCUAUUGAGGAUGAUAUAAGUGUCAGAAUGCUCAUGCUUGGAACCCUAUGUCCAAGUUGUAAGGAAGCCCAAGCAACCCAUGAAGAGGGCCACGUUAAGAAGAACCAGGACCCACAGUCUAAGUGAACUCUCAGCUAAUAGCACCAUUUUGCCAACCAUGUGAGUGAACCAUCUUCAUAGUUGACUUGCCAGCCCCCAGUUGUGCUGCCCCAGAAACAUUGCAUGGAACAGAUGACCCUUCCCCCUGAGCCUGGCCCAAAUGGCAGAUUUGUGAACAAAAUAAAUGACUGUUGUCUUAAGCCCUAGAUUUU
rnacentral:lncRNA from 1 species